AAAUUCCGUGAUAGCUGGUUCUCUCCGAAAUGCAUUUGGGUGCAGCGUCGGGUCAUUACGUCCCGGGGGUAGAGCUACUGGAUGCUUGCGGGCCCGUAUCGGGUACCAACAGCAACCAAACUCCGAAUACCGGUGACGCGUAUCCCGGCAGUGAGUCGGCGGGGGAUAAGCUUCGUCGUCGAAAGGGAAACAGCCCAGACCGUCGUCUAAGGUCCCGAAGCGUGUGCUAAGUGGGAAAGGAUGUGGAGUCGCAUAGACAGCCAGGAGGUUGGCUCAGAAGCAGCCACCCUUGAAAGAGUGCGUAACAGCUCACUGGUCUAGUGGUUCCGCGCCGACAAUGUAGCGGGGCUCAAGCACACCACCGAAGACGCGGCAGCAAUCUUCAUGGUUGCUGGGUAGGAGAGCGUCCUGCGAGGGGCGAAGCGGCCGGGUAACCGUGCCGUGGACUUCGUGGGAGUGAGAAUGCAGACAUGAGUAGCGAGAGACGGGUGAGGAUCCCGUCCGCUGGAUGACCAAGGGUUCCGGGGCCACGUUCGUCGUCCCCGGGUGAGUCGGGUCCUAAGGCGAGGCCGACAGGCGUAGUCGAAUGGAUGAACGGGUGGAUAUUCCCGUACCGACCAUGGACCGGCAAAACCGAGACGGUGAGUACUAACCUCCGCCUCGUGGUGGUUCCUUCCUUCGGGUUGGUGUCGCCGCGUGGUGUUGGGAGCGUAGCCGCAGUAGGUCAGCGCAGGGGUGACACGGAAUGGGAGCCGGCCGCGGAGGUGGUUUUCCGUGGUCAAGCACGCAGCCAGUCAUGUAGGCAAAUCCGCAUGGCGCGCAUGGCGAGGUGUGAUGAUGGGAGCCGUUAUGGCUCGAUAUCCGGUUGUCCAGGCCGUCGAGAAAAGCCUCGGCGUGAGGGCCAUGGCCGCCCGUACCCCAAACCGACACUGGUGGUCAGGUAGAGAAUACCAAGGCGAUCGAGCGAAUCCUGGUCAAGGAACUCGGCAAAUCACUCCCGUGCCUUCGGUAUAAGGGAGACCCGCUGGGGUGAACCGGCUAGCCCGGGGAGCUUUGGUGGGUGGCACAGACCAGGGGGUAGCGACUGUUUACCAAAAACACAGGUGCAUGCGAAGGCGAAAGCCGCUGUAUAUGCACUGACGCCUGCCCGGUGCCGGAAGGUUAAGAGGAUCCGUCAGCCUUCGGGUGAAGCGGUGAAUUCAAGCCCCGGUAAACGGCGGUGGUAACUAUAACCAUCCUAAGGUAGCGAAAUUCCUUGUCGGGUAAGUUCCGACCUGCACGAAUGGCGUAACGACUUCCCCACUGUCUCGACCAGGAGCUCGGCGAAAUUGCAGUACGAGUAAAGAUGCUCGUUAAGCGCAGAAGGACGAAAAGACCCCGGGACCUUUACUAUACCUUGGUAUUGGCGUUAGGCGCGGAUUGUGUAGCAUAGGCGGGAGGCUUCGAAGCGGGUGCGCCAGCAUUCGUGGAGCCGCAAGGUGAAAUACCGCUCUGUUCUCGUUUGACGUCUAACCUCGACAAGUCAUCCUUGUCAGGGACAGUGCCUGGCGGGUAGUUCAACUGGGGCGGUUGCCUCCCAAAGAGUAACGGAGGCGCUCAAAGGUCCGCUCAGCCCGGUUGGCAAUCGGGUGUCGAGUGUAAUCGCACAAGCGGGCUUGACUGCGAGGACGACGGUCCGAGCAGGGACGAAAGUCGGAGAUAGUGAUCCGGUGCCGGCGCACGGGCGCGGCAUCGCUCAACGGAUAAAAGGUACCCCGGGGAUAACAGGCUGAUCAUUCCCAAGAGUCCAUAUCGACGGGAUGGUUUGGCACCUCGAUGUCGGCUCGUCGCAUCCUGGGGCUGGAGCAGGUCCCAAGGGUUCGGCUGUUCGCCGAUUAAAGCGGCACGCGAGCUGGGUUCAGAACGUCGUGAGACAGUUUGGUCUCUAUCCUCUGCGCUCGUUGGAAUCCUGAGGAGGCCUGCCCAUAGUACGAGAGGACCUGGGUGGACGAACCUCUGGUAUGCCGGUUGUCACGCCAGUGGCACGGCCGGUUGGCUACGUUCGGAAGGGAUAACCGCUGAAAGCAUCUAAGCGGGAAGCCUGCUCCAAGAUAAGCAUUCCGUGGAACCUUCGAGUUCCUGUAGU
rnacentral:rRNA from 1 species